AUGUGUCGGUUUCUCAGAGCUGCAGCCGCCGAUUCUGCAGGGUCUGCAGUCCCCAAGGAUGGGAACAUCUUCCCCGAGACCCCACCAAGGGAGAAAGUGUCCGGUUUCAGAAGGUGCAGGUCUCUGUGCGCCCUCUGCUAUCCACAGCUGAGAAUGCAUGCCUCCCUCAAGUCAACACAAUAUUGCGGAAUGAUUUUAGAAGUAAAGAGAAUCACUUCCCAGGGAUGGGAGUUCCGUGCUGGCAUGAUGGUGUGCGCCUGUGAUCCCAGAUGCUCAGGAGGCUGGGGAGGAAGGUGGCAGGUUGGGGACCAGCCUGGGCGGUUUCACAAGAGCCUAUCUCAAAGUAAAAGCAGGGGGAAGGGAGGGUGUGGAUCUGCGUUCCCUCAGCUGGAUCCAGCCAUGGGCUCAGUGCACUGCUGUGUUUGGAUCUAAGAAGCCCCGAGAUUCUCUGGGUGUGGAAGGUGACAGGGUCAUAGUGCUGCACUUGUCAGUGGACUCAUCGCCCUCGGUGGAGGGGUCGCUGCCCUUGGGAGGGAGCAUCCUGUCCCAGCCCCUCACUUCCUUCCACCCCCUGGCUGCCAGGUGGAGCACCUUCCCCUCCGCCAUCCUCUUCUGCCCUGGAGCAGCUGACCAGGCGCUGGAGCUGAGCCCAAAUCCGCGCCUCCUCAAGUUGAGUGUGUACACUAGCUUAUUCCAGUGAUGAGAAAGUGGGUUAGGGCAGACCCUCAAACCAGGUGUGGUGGCACAUGUCUGUGAGCCCAGCACUUGGGAGGCUGAGCCAAGAGGAUCUCCAGGAGUUCCAGGCCAGCCUGAACUGUAUAGACCCUGCCUCAAAAAGAGGGCGGGAGAUUUAGCUCAGUGGCACCACACCUGCCUCGAGUGCAAGGACCUAAGUUUGAUCCCCAGUACCAAAAAAUAAAUAAACAAAAAAUAAAACAAAAAUAAAAGAUCCUCAAUAUAAAGAAAAAAGUUCAAUUUUCAAGGAAUUAUAACACGUCUUUAACUUAUGAAUACCCAAUAAUAACCUCAACUAUAUAAAGCAAAAAUUGAAAAAAAAAAAAAACUAGGGAACAGACAAAAAUUUGUCUCCAAAAUAGAUCCGGGUAACCUAUCAGUAAGAGAUACUGUGAACAACACAGCAAACAUCAGCCUGUGGGGCCCUCGUCCUAAAGCUUCCAGGAAGGCAACAAAACUCCAAACACAGAGCCCCAGGCAGCGCCAACACAGCUGAUGGGAAGCGUGGCUGUCAAUGCCGUGGUACUUGAAGGGACCUGGAAGAUGCCAGCUGCUGGAAACAGCCCAGGUGCAGAGCGGAGCAACCCCGGAACAGGAAUGGAAACAAUGCCUGUCUCACUGUGGCCUCCUUCUCCUGUGGAGCUUCAGAAACUUAACCUCACUUAUUAAAAAAGGAGAAGUUCAAGAAGCUAGAAAAAUAACAGCAAAUCAACCUAAAGAAAGUGGAAAAAAACAGUUCGGAGCACAAGUUACUGAAACAAAGCAAUAGAAACUGGCAACAAUGCCAAAAUGUGUUUAUUAGAAAGAGUAAUAAAAUCGAAAACCACUGGGAAGGAAAAGGAGAACAAGACAGACCCUGCAGGAAGUGAGCUGGUUAGGGUGACAUGGAUAGAGUGUGGCAGUGCAUCUGAAAUCCCUGCUACUCGGAAGGCCGAGGCAGGAGGGUCACAAGCUUGAGGUCAGCCUGGGAAACUUAGCAGGAGCCUGUCUCAAAAUAAAAUACUGAAAGGGUAUGUAGCUGAGUGGUGAGUUUGAUCCAAAACAAGGAAAACCUCACAGGCAAACAGCCUGAAAGACUGGAACAUCAGCACGCACGGCAUCUGGCAGGACGGUCUCAGAGAGCUGCUGCUGGAGCGCCGUGGAGAGACGGAAUGCAGAGGACCAGUGCUUUCAGACCCGCAGCCUGAAGCCCUCAGAGGCGUCCUGGGAAAGGCCCAGCUGACUGUGCCCCUCUUCCGUGAAGCAGCCGGCGGGGGGUGGCGGCUGAGUUGGCCCUGGAAUCACCUCGGGAACUGCCAUUGCUGUGCAUGAGGGCCACCCCCACGGCUGCCUCCCAACACCACCAGGCCAGUGACCGGCAUGGGGCACUCCUGCAGGAGACCCGCUGGCCCCAUGGCUCCGUUUGCUGACAGAAACUGCACUCCUGGCGAGCAGCCUCCGCUCUACUCCUGCAUCUGAUUCACCCACUUUACAUCCUGAACUUGAGUUGAAAGGACCCUGGGCAAGAGCCUUGGGGUCAGAAACAAUCCCACCAGCUGUUUGAACAGAGGACUCCGUAUGCAGAGUGUUUGCCUGGGUCAAGGUGGCUAACUCGGUAAUUGCAAGAGUAAAAGAAGAAUGGGAUGGUAUCAUAGAAUCAGCAGCUCAAGACUUGACCAGCACCCCUGGGACUAAAGAACAAGAAGAGGUCGAAAUCAGUAUCACCUAGAAAAGAGGUCCCUGUGGAGCUGAAGCUGAGAUGCUAAAGCCAGGGUGCUGCUCAGAGGGGCUGGCAACUUCAAGAUCCUGCAGAUGAGGACUUAACUGCAGCUAAACAAGAGACGGCCACUGCCAGUGAAGCAGCAGAGGGGCGACAUUCACAGGAAGUAGAAAGCAGCAGACAGGAAAAGGAAGUAGAGAGAAGCAGACAGGAACCCGGAAGCAGACAAGAGCAGGUCGCUCCCUUCUGUCCAGGCUUCCAGAGCCCCAGUGCUGGUGGCCAGGCAGAAAAGCGGGGCGCAGAGUUCCAGCCCCGGCAUCUCGGGCAGUUACAAGAGGGUGGGUUUGAAGCCGAGAGUGAUCCUCCCUGGCGUGAUGCAUCUCUGCCUACCAAGCACAUUCUGCACAUUUAUGGUCUUCAUCUUCACCUCCCAAGAUGCUAACAUCCUACACACAAAGGAAGGUGUUCUUACCCUCACCCCAAAUUGAGUCACCGCUGUCUCUGUGGGCUGUGUGAAUUACUCAGGUUCGGUCACAGUCACCCGGAUGUCUGCUGUGUGAAGCUUAACUGCAAAGUUAGCCUCUAACAGGCUUGAAUAAUUAGAGAAGAAAAGAAAAAUAGUUACUGCCCUACAUAGGUGUGUACACACAUGCGUGCUCACACAACAAGCAAGGAAGAAAGUACACUUAGUGCUUCUGUUCCCAGCUCUGACCUGGUCUCGCCGCCCUCUGCCUCCUCUGCUCUUCCCAGGCUCCUGCUGAUCAGGGCUCUUUGCCCAUGGGUUACCCCAGGCCCGAUUCCUGUGGGGUCUGAGCCCUUUGUGGGCCUGCCUUCCUGUUUUCCUGAAACCUCUGUUCGUGCAGUUCUGCAUCAACUUCACUGUGGGGCCAGCAGCAUCCCCAGCCUUUCUGGCACCAGGGACUGGUGGGGGAGGAGUCGCAAGCACGUUGUAUUUACUGUGCACCUCAUUUCUAUUGUUAUGAGGUUCUUACAAGGAGCCUGCACGCUAGGGCCCUUGCCUCCGCCCGUGACGAUCUAAUGCAGCUGCUGACCUGACGGGAGGUGGAGCUCAGGCAGGGUGUGAGGGUUUGGAGCGGCUGUGAGCACAGAGGAAGCUUGGUGGGCUCUGACACCAGUGUGUGGCCCAGGCCGCUGGGGAGCCUGGUCCUGGGCGCGGCCUUCCUCCCUGGGACCAUCGCCCGACAGGACGGUCACCCUCUUCUUUUCCUGUUGGUUCAGGGCAUUCAUGGCACUGUCCACUUCGGCUGAGGCAGCCAGCACAGCAAACAGGAAACAAACAGGACAGAGAGUCAGGAGGUACGGACCCUGCGCCCAGGAGGAACGUUCUGUGCAGUGUGCUCUUUCUUAGUUCACAGCGCCCACCUGCCUCCGACUGGAUUGUAGGAAUGUUUCAAAUGCAAAAUAACCUGUUUCCUUUGAACUCGGGUUCUUUGAAACAAGCAAAAUAACUUCUAAGGCUCUGCAAGGCCUUCCCUGCUCUGCUCGUCUGUUAAGACCAAAGCAAGCACAGCUCAGUGGCAGUCCCACUUCCAGAAUCCCUUUUUCCUUCUUUUUCCAUUAAACACUCUCCUACCUCCCUCCUUUUGUCGGUGACUUCAUUCUCCUACUUUGUGAGGUGAGGACCUUGGACCUUGAAUUUAUACAAAAUUAACCAUUUUACUUGUGGAAUCAUUAAUUCCACUGGAAGUCAAGACUCCUGAACCACCAGAGAGUGUCCACAAAGGGAAAUAAAAGCCCUGCAAGCAGAUGCAGUGUGUGACAGCGAAAGGCGCCCCUGCCCUUCUGUCCUCGGUUAAAGCACAGCACUGGACACCAGUGGAGGCGGCACUUGGGCUUCAAGAAGGCAUCCAGAGGAGCGGUAACCAAUGCCUCAGUCGACAUCUGCGUCUCCUCCGGGCCUGAAGUCGGGACGCAGCCGAGCCACGGUCACGCACAGCAGCCAGAGGUGCCAGCAACUCACUGUCCCUGGACAGAAUAGUGGAUAAACAGCGUGGUCUGGCUGCACAUGCACUAUGUGGAUGCCCCAGGAAAGCAUUAAGCCAAGCAAAAUAAGCCAGCCAUGGGAGACGAGUCCUGUGACUCCUGUGGCUGAGGUCCAUUAAGUAGUCAAAGUCACGGGGACACAAAACAGAAAGGGAGCCACCCAGGGCUGCAGGGGACAUUUGGCUGCAGAGUUUCAGGCUGGGAAGAUGGAAGAGUUCCGUGGCCGGAU
rnacentral:lncRNA from 1 species